UACGAGGGGAGCAAGCGUUGUUCGGAUUUACUGGGCGUAAAGGGCGCGUAGGCGGCCAGCACAAGUCAGUUGUGAAAUCUCCGAGCUUAACUCGGAAAGGUCAACUGAUACUGUGCGGCUAGAGUGCGGAAGGGGCAACUGGAAUUCUUGGUGUAGCGGUGAAAUGCGUAGAUAUCAAGAGGAACACCUGCGGCGAAGGCGGGUUGCUGGGCCGACACUGACGCUGAGGAGCGAAAGCGUGGGGAGCGAACAGG
rnacentral:rRNA from 1 species